AGAGUUUGAUCAUGGCUCAGAACGAACGCUGGCGGCAGGCUUAACACAUGCAAGUCGAACGGGCCCUUCGGGGUCAGUGGCAGACGGGUGAGUAACGCGUGGGAAUCUACCCUUUCCUACGGGAUAACGCAGGGAAACUUGUGCUAAUACCGUAUACGUCCUCCAUAGGGAUAUGGUUGGAGAAAGAUUUAUCGGGGAAGGAUGAGCCCGCGUUGGAUUAGCUGGUUGGUGGGGUAAUGGCCUACCAAGGCGACGAUCCAUAGCUGGUCUAAGAGGAUGAUCAGCCACAUUGGGACUGAGACACGGCCCAAACUCCUACGGGAGGCAGCAGUGGGGAAUAUUGGACAAUGGGCGCAAGCCUGAUCCAGCCAUGGCCGCGUGAGUGAUGACGGUCUUAGGAUUGUAAAGCUCUUUCACCGGUGACGAUAAUGACGGUAGCCGGAGAAGAAGCCCCGGCUAACUUCGUGCCAGCAGCCGCGGUAAUACGAAGGGGGCUAGCGUUGUUCGGAAUUACUGGGCGUAAAGCGCACGUAGGCGGACAUUUAAGUCAGGGGUGAAAUCCCGGGGCUCAACCCCGGAACUGCCUUUGAUACUGGGUGUCUCGAGUGUGGUAGAGGUGAGUGGAAUUGCGAGUGUAGAGGUGAAAUUCGUAGAUAUUCGCAGGAACACCAGUGGCGAAGGCGGCUCACUGGACCACAACUGACGCUG
rnacentral:rRNA from 1 species